rnacentral:ncRNA from 1 species
CUUCAGGGCAGGGCGCAAUUCCCGACCGGCGGUAAACCCCGCGAGCCGUAAGGCUGAACCGGUGCAAUUCCGGUGGCGACAGUACAGUCUGGAUGGAAGAAGGUU